AAAGGAUGAUGACAUUGUGAUGUCAAUGAGGCUUCCCAGAUGAGAGGAAGGGACAAUUUCUCUUCCACGCUGAAACCUGAAAGCUGAAAGUCAUGCUCUGAUGUUCUCACUGAGGAGUCUCCAGGAAGAUCCACAUCCACAAUGGAUGCCAUAGCCUAUUCAGGAUUUGUCCCAGCAGAGAAGUGAGUGCAGGCCCAAGACAGUGGGGUAGGGGACACAAGCCUGCAGGGGAAAUGCUAAGGAUCUGUCCGUCCUACGCAUACCCGAGUGAGGCUGGGAACAAUUAGACUAAUGGACCAUGGAGGCCUACAGAUGGCAAAGCAGCCUGUCUGCUGGGAAAGGGGAUAUGGUCAGAGGCAAGAAUCACUGUAUUAGAAAGAGGACAGUGUCUUCUGGUACAUCAAGGGAUUGCUUGUGCUUCUCAGCCCAGGGCCAAACAAAGCCAGGCCACACUUCACAAGGGAAACCAGCAAGAGGUCAGAGAGCCUGGCACAGUGAAUCCAUAGAGCUCUGUGUACCCACCUGCGUGGGAGAGGGAGGAACCUGAAACACAAGGCUGUCGCUACAGCAAAGAGAGCCCUGGGUGCUGAAAUUCUAACAGGUUCGUUUAAUUUGUCAUGCCUGCUUCUCUGAGCUCCUUCUUAAUCCCAUUGAGGAAAGGCUCAAGGGGAAGAUUUAGAUUCAUUAAAAAAAAAAAAAAAGCGUUUGAAGCUGCACUAAAUCCAACUGUCUUAGCGAGAGCGAGGAAAUCGGCCUCUGCUGUGGCUGCUGCCUGGAUCUUGGUCAUGUGUUAGCUUGGCAGAGCUCUGCUGGUGUUUUCCUUUUCCUCUCGCAGCUGAUGGAUUUCAAGACACUCGAAACACUAAUGGUGCUGAAGAAUUUCCAUUCCACUCGUGGUGUGUUUGCCUUCUGCACAGGCAUGUCUCCCAGUCGCCCAGGAACCCUUCUGUGAGUCAGGUGUGCAGUAUGGCAGAACAGACCUACCCAUGGGGCUGCCGCCGCCAAGACUCCAGGAAGACUGGGGGAGGAGGCUGCCACGACCACCACCAAGGUUCAUGGAAAAUCUAAGCUGUACCUAGCACCCCAGCCGCGAGGGGCCAUGACAGCAGCACUGAGCUACCUGCUAGAAGGAAGCUGGAGUUAGCACUUGGGAAUUCACUCCUGCCUCUUCAGUAAGGGAGUGUUGUGGACUAGUCUCACCUACGACGAGCUGGCAUAAAUUGUGAGCUUUUGAUUUAUGAAGUUUCCUAACAGAGGAACUAGAAAGCUGAUCUGUGGAAGGAAAGACUACACUGACCCCCCCCCUCCCCCCUUUGUCUGUGUUGGUUCUGUUUCCCACGGCUUUGAUGGAAUGCCUGUCAGAAACAAUCGCAGAGUCAAGGUCUGUCGGCUCACAGUUUCAGAGGGUGUUGUUCAGUCCUCAUAGCAGGAGAGACAUUGUGGAGCAGCAGCUUAGUGGCAGCGAGAGCCCAUGGCAGAGCCUUGUUCAUGUUGAACAGAGAACAGGACUGGACACAGGUGGGGGCCAUCAAACCCCACCUCUACCAUCCUGACCUCACCUCCUAAAAUUUCCAAACUUGUCUGCUUGCCUCCGACCUUGCCCUUGCCCUUGCUGGCAGCUUUGUCUGCCCUAUUCCUGUGCUCUCACUGGUAUUAGAACCUAUGUCUUUGGGACUCUGGCUCAGACUGAAGACCAGUUGAGGCAUGGAGCUUCGUGGAUGAAACAACUACAGAAUUCUUGUCCUUUUCCAUCAGGAGACAUUGUUGGACGAGCCAGACCAUAGGCUGUAAGCCAUUCUAAUAAAUCCCCCCCUUUUAAUCUA